UACGUAGGGCGCAAGCGUUGUCCGGAAUUAUUGGGCGUAAAGAGCUCGUAGGCGGUCUGUCGCGUCGGAUGUGAAAGCCCGGGGCUUAACCCCGGGUCUGCAUUCGAUACGGGCAGACUAGAGUGUGGUAGGGGAGAUCGGAAUUCCUGGUGUAGCGGUGAAAUGCGCAGAUAUCAGGAGGAACACCGGUGGCGAAGGCGGAUCUCUGGGCCAUUACUGACGCUGAGGCGCGAAAGCUAGGGUAGCAAACGGG
rnacentral:rRNA from 1 species